rnacentral:lncRNA from 1 species
AUGACAGCGCUGAUAACAAGGCUCCGAAGACAUGCUGGUGAGUCAGGCACGCUGGGCGCUGCCUUUCUGUGCAGCCAGGGCUCCGGCUGCAGCAGCGUCGCAGGAGCAGCCAGUAAAAUUCCACUACUCCCUGGAGCCCGCUGGGAGGCCAGGGAACAGCCGUGGGCUUUUUCCAGCUCCGGUCUAGCCCAGGGCUCUGGGUACCCUCAGGCCCUGCAAAUGAUGCACAAAGCCCACAGAAGUCUCUCUGUAAGUACUGCGUUGAGGCAGUGUCGAAGGUAAAGGCUGGCAAAGUGGACGCGUGCUGAAAGACUGCUGAUUGGUCGACUUCAGUUGGUCGACUUCAGUUGGUCGACUUCAGUUGCUGAUUGGUCGACUAUUUACAAGGUAUCUGAUAUAAGUGGAGGAGGGGUUGAUUGUUGAUUCAGUUACUCAUCACUCACUGUCAUUCCACAGAUAUUUGUCUGACAUCCUUAGGAGAUGAGAUUUUUCUGCGCUGGUGAUUAGCCUCGCUUGUCCUGCUGGGCCCUCUUGAAGGAUUUUAGGGACCACAGCAUCCUGCGAUGUGGGUGUGGUUUUCCCGAUUUCCAGGGAGUCACUUCCGGAGGUCAAGUGGCUGGUGAAAGCCAAGGGCAGGACGGAGCCGGGGCUGAAUGGAGGGGCAGCCCCCGUGCGCUCAGCCUCUCCGUCCUCCCCACUGUGGGCUGCUCCCCGCGGGCUCCGGUGACCUCUGCCCACCUUCGCUCAGAGCCCUGUCGCCUCUCAGAUUCCUGGUGUCCACGUGCCCAUGGCCACCUGUCUCCGGAGGACUUGCAUUUUUAAGCUAUCUGUCACUAAGCAACAGGCAGCGCUCUGAGGACUUUUAGACCUAGCGAACAGGCUUGGCGGCUUGCGGUGAGGCAGGGACCCCAAAGGCCGGAAGACAGCGCGUGCAGGUGGCUCCAAAGCCGCCUACGCACCAGGCCCCGCAUACAGGAAUGGAAAAGGAGUCCCACUUUGGGCUACAGAUUCUAGAAAGCUGCGAAGCGCUGGGGAAAUCCAUUUUGAGUAACACCUUUUAUAGGAAAGGACAGAGAUGGAAGUAGUUAUUCAUGGUGUGAGUUGUGUCGGUGGAGGCGGCAGGUCACUCACUGGAAGCGCGGAUUAAGAGGUGCACAGCUCCCCUCCCGGGGUGGGGGAUGGGGUGGGGGGUGGGGUGGGGGCGGCACUGCUGAUGGAAUCAGGAGUUACUGCCUGAGCCCCUGCAUCUUACAAGUGUAGACACGGGGGCCCAUGGGGCCGG